UCAGUCCAUCCCAGGCCUCAAGUAAACACAACUGAAGAAAUAAUUGAUUCUAAAUGGAAGAUUUUAAAUUGUUAACAGGACUCAGCGAAAUACAGAAGACAGGGGAUUUCACCGCAAAAGGCAAACAUUUCAAUUCGGCUGCGUUUCUUUAGCUGUGAGAGCCGAAGACAUCCAAAGUUAAAUAGAAGUGUCCCUCAGAAGGCAAGGACUAGCCAAGAGAAAGGUGAUAUUUGAAGUGAACCCGUGGGGAUGAUUGAACUGGCUAAUGGUUGGGAUGCAGGAUUGAAAUGAGCAGAAGUGUAAAAGAGUCAACACUUCCCAAAUGAAGACACAUAUUUGAUGAAAAGGAAUUUUCACCCAUGCAUGGUCCAUCAAUGAGAAUCAGAGUAAAGUCUUCAAUGAAAGAAGACAGAAACAAUGGCUUUCAAUGGAAGGAGAUGAGGAAAGAGUUGCCUGACCAUUCUAGGCUGGAUUGAUUGACUUGCUAACACUGUACGGGUAAAAUAUCUCAAUGAUUUCUCCAGAAGUGUCAGCAGACAAAUGAUUGUAAAACAGCUUAUAUGCCAUGCCAGUCAUAUAGUAAUUUCUA